GAUGAACGCUAGCUACAGGCUUAACACAUGCAAGUCGAGGGACCGGCGCACGGGUGAGUAACACGUAUCCAAUCUUCCCUUUACUCGUGGAUAGCCUUUCGCAAGUAAGAUUAAUACCCGAUAUAAAGGAUGGGGAUGCGUUCCAUUAGGUUGUUGGUGAGGUAACGGCCCACCAAGCCGUCGAUGGUUAGGGGUUGUGAGAGGAAGGUACCCCACAUGGGAAGUGAGACACGGUCCAUAGUCCUGCGGGAGGCAGCAGUGAGGAACAUUGGUCAAUGGGCGUUAGUAUGAAACAGCCAAGUAGCGUGAAGGAUGGAGGCUUAUGGGUAGGAAAAUUCUUUUAUAUAAGAAAAUGUAUUAUAUGAAUAAGGAUCGGCUAACUCCGUGCCAGCAGCCGCGGUAAUAC
rnacentral:rRNA from 1 species